rnacentral:rRNA from 1 species
AUUGAACGCUGGCGGCAGGCUUAACACAUGCAAGUCGAACGAGUGGCGGACGGGUGAGUAAUGCUUGGGAAUCUAGCUUAUGGAGGGGGAUAACUACGGGAAACUGUAGCUAAUACCGCGUACCAUAGGAUGAGCCCAAGUGGGAUGAGGUAGUUGGUGAGGUAAAGGCUCACCAAGCCGACGAUCCCUAGCUGGUCUGAGAGGAGGACCAGCCACAAUGGGACUGAGACACGGCCCAGACGCCUACGUGAGGCAGCAGUGGGGAAUAUUGCGCAAUGGGGGAAACCUGACGAAGCCAUGCCGCGUGAAUGAAGAAGGCCUUCGGGUUGUAAAGUGCUUUCGGUAGCGAGGCGUUAACUACAGAAUAAGCACCGGCUAACUCCGUGCCAGCAGCCGCGGUAAUAC